rnacentral:rRNA from 1 species
GAUGAACGCUGGCGGCGUGCUUAACACAUGCAAGUCGAACGUGAGGGGGUAGCAAUAUCCUUGAAAGUGGCGCACGGGUGAGUAAUACGUAGGUAACCUGCCCUGGAGUGGGGGAUAACAGCUAGAAAUGGCUGCUAAUACCGCAUGAGGCCGAGACACUGGGAAGUGUUUUGGCGAAAACUCUGGUGCUUCAGGAGGGGCCUGCGGCCGAUUAGCUAGUUGGCGGGGUAAGAGCCCACCAAGGCAUUGAUCGGUAGCUGGUCUGAGAGGACGAUCAGCCACACGGGAACUGAGACACGGUCCCGACUCCUACGGGGGGGCAGCAGUGAGGAAUAUUGGGCAAUGGGCGGAAGCCUGACCCAGCAACGCCGCGUGGAGGAAGACGGCCUCGGUUGUAAACUACCUUUACGGGGUAAGGAGGAAGGACGGUACCCCGGACGAAUAAGUCACGGCUAACUACGUGCCAGCAGCCGCGGU